rnacentral:lncRNA from 1 species
UCUCCCCUUCCCUUCCCCCUCCUCGCGGAGCCCCUUCCCCCCCUAAAAAAGGCCCCCCCGGCGCGUUUCGGCGGCUCCCUCCCCCAUACGGAGCUCUAUGCACAUGCACAUACGUGCGUGCCCGUGGCUGCGCCGAGAUACGCGGCACGGCUCGAUGCGCGUACUCCCGUCAUGUGUUUGGGGAGAGAAAAAGAAAUAGCAGGCACCUCUCUCUCUCUUUCUUUUGUUCCUCUUUCUCACUCACACACUUGGGGCGCUGGGAGGCACCCCCUGCCCCGGCCGCUCCCCCGCCACUUGCGAGUCACUUGCCCACUUUCCCCGGCGCGAACUUCCAUCCCCGCCGCGCGGGUGGGGGGGAGAAGCCCCCUCCCUUCCCCGGCGGCGUUUCGUAAGGGAGGGCGAGGAGGUGCGCCUCUGCCUUUCUCUCGCUCUCCAACUUUCAUCCUCACCUACGGCCGAACCCGACCCCGCCGCCGGCCUUCGGCCGCCGACGCCGUUCCCCGGCCGCGGCCGGCGGCUCCGGCUCGCGACCCGCCGCUCCUUACCACCCCAAAUUCUCUCUCUCUCUUUUUCUCCGGCUCUCGACCCCUCACAGAAAUGGUUCCACAUUUGGAAAGGAUAUCAUUGGAAGAUAUAUAUGCUGAACAUCAAAACUGAAACCCAGCUUUGGAGCUGGAACAAAGCUGUUCUGUUGGGGACUUGGUGUCCCCACAAAUGUGAAGAAAUUAAGACUGACCCACUACCAGUAAUGGAUAAUUGAAAGGUAAUUUGUUGGUUGUUUUUUUGUUUGUUUGUUUCUGCUAAUACCAGAAUAAUUAUCACAUUUAUUGAAUUUCCACACUAAGCUAGGAAACCAAUAGUACUUCAGAUUCGAGUGUGUGCUCUGGCCACACCCUGACCCUAUACCAGCUUGAGACUCAAGACAGCAGUGGCUCUUUUUUUGCUUUUUUUCUGGGAAGGAAAGAAACCACAGUGUUCUCCAGCCAGAUUUCAGCCCAGUACACACCAGGACACAUUGUAGAUGCAGCCUCGGAGAGUGUUUUUGC